rnacentral:rRNA from 1 species
UACGUAGGCAGCAAGCGUUGUUCGGAAUUAUUGGGCGUAAAGAGCUCGUAGGCGGUUUUUCGCGUCUGCUGUGAAAACCCGAGGCUCAACCUCGGGCCUGCAGUGGGUACGGGCAGACUAGAGUGCGGUAGGGGAGAUUGGAAUUCCUGGUGUAGCGGUGAAAUGCGCAGAUAUCAGGAGGAACACCGGUGGCGAAGGCGGGUCUCUGGGCAGUAACUGACGCUGAGGAGCGAAAGCGUGGGGAGCGAACAGG